UACGUAGGCAGCGAGCGUUGUUCGGAGUUACUGGGCGUAAAGGGUGUGUAGGCGGUUUUCUAAGUUUGGUGUGAAAUCUCCCGGCUCAACCGGGAGGGUGCGCCGAAAACUGGAAGACUAGAGUGCGGGAUGGGAGAGUAGAAUUCCUGGUGUAGCGGUGAAAUGCGCAGAUAUCAGGAAGAACACCCGUGGCUAAGGCGGCUCUCUAGGACGGUACUGACGCUGAGACGCGAAAGCGUGGGGAGCGAACAGG
rnacentral:rRNA from 1 species